rnacentral:sRNA from 1 species
UCGUGAUAUGGCAUAUGUUUCCGGUGCAAUUGCAGGUGAUAAUGUCUUCGGAUCCUGCAGGAGCGGUUAGAUUUCUCCAUCCCCCUCCAGUAUUUGAGACGUCACAUGGAUUAACAUUGUAAUUCCAUUUAGUGUUCCAUCAAUUUCUCCCCAAUAAUUCUUAAAACCUCCACUGCAAAAAUUAGAAAAUAAAGCAUAAAUCAAAAUGACCUAAAACUAAAACAAAACUUUGAUUUCCAUUGAUAGAUAUACCAAGCCAAACUAUCAGCAAGUAACAACAAACAAGCCGAAGAGAAAAUGUGAAAUUAGACCUAACAUAUUUAUAAGCAACCAUAACCGUAAACAAUAAAUAAAUAAAACAUACAUUCUUCGUCGGGCAAGUUUGGUGGUUCCAUUGCAAAACCAUAAAAAAGGAACAAAAUCAACAACGAAAGUAUUAUUGACUCCAUCGCCAAAGACUGCAAGAAGAAGAAAAAAAAUUAUCUGCUUACGGAACAAGAGAGAAAAAAAGACUGGGAGAGAGAGAGAUAGAGAGUGUAUGCGAAAGAUUAUCUUCUCACAGAGAGAGAAUUCAAUAUUCUUGGUUAUAAUUUAAUGUUUUCACUUAAGCUCUAUCUGCUGCUCAAGAUUAGCUGACUUCGAGGAUGUUACGUGAAUUUACUAGGAUGCUUUAUUAUUUACUUCUUAAAAUCUGAAAAGAAAAACAUUUUCAUAUCCCCUUUUCAUCCAUGUUAGGGAUCAGAUUGCUCUGUUUAAUAUAUUAAAUUUCAGAUUUUUAUGUAUUGAUUUUUAUACAUUUAGCUUUGUUACUUUUCAUCAUUGUAACAUAUUUUCAAUAGAAUGUAAGUUUUUUCCAUUUGCAAGACCACAUCCAAAAAAAGUUUCCACUUUUGAAAGCUAUGUUAGUAAGUCAUUAUGUUCUAAUAUGAUUAAUU